rnacentral:rRNA from 1 species
UACGGAGGGUGCAAGCGUUAUCCGGAUUCACUGGGUUUAAAGGGUGCGUAGGUGGGUUUGUAAGUCAGUGGUGAAAUCUCCGUGCUUAACAUGGAAACUGCCAUUGAUACUAUAGAUCUUGAAUUUUCUGGAGGAUAGCGGAAUAUGUCAUGUAGCGGUGAAAUGCUUAGAUAUGACAUAGAACACCAAUUGCGAAGGCAGCUAACUACAGGGAUAUUGACACUGAGGCACGAAAGCGUGGGGAUCAAACAGG